CAGAUUGAACGCUGGCGGCAGGCCUAACACAUGCAAGUCGAACGGUAACAGGAAGAAGCUUGCUCUUGCUGACGAGUGGCGGACGGGUGAGUAAUGUCUGGGAAACUGCCUGAUGGAGGGGGAUAACUACUGGAAACGGUAGCUAAUACCGCAUAACGUCGCAAGACCAAAGAGGGGGACCUUCGGGCCUCUUGCCAUCGGAUGUGCCCAGAUGGGAUUAGCUUGUUGGUGGGGUAACGGCUCACCAAGGCGACGAUCCCUAGCUGGUCUGAGAGGAUGACCAGCCACACUGGGACUGAGACACGGUCCAGACUCCUACGGGAGGCAGCAGUGGGGAAUAUUGCACAAUGGGCGCAAGCCUGAUGCAGCCAUGCCGCCGUGUAUGAAGAAGGCCUUCGGGUUGUAAAGUACUUUCAGCGGGGAGGAAGGGAGUAAAGUUAAUACCUUUGCUCAUUGACGUUACCCGCAGAAGAAGCACCGGCUAACUCCGUGCCAGCAGCCGC
rnacentral:rRNA from 1 species